UGCGCAUGCAUUUUCAACUCUGAAACUCUUGAAGUUCAAGUUACAACUCUUUAAUCCCAACUCCACCUUGAUCUGUUACUCGAUUUGGGAAUGAGUACCAGAUCAAGGUGGAGUUGAGAAUAAAGAAUUGUGUUUCUUCGAUGAGUGUUCUUUGUAAAAAGGCUUUGUGCA